GAGGGUACAGCUCAAGUGGUAGAGCUCAUGCUUAACAUGCAUGAGGUCCUGGGUUCAAUCCCCAGUACCUCCU
rnacentral:tRNA from 1 species